CCGGCUAACUUCGUGCCAGCAGCCGCGGUAAUACGAAGGGUGCAAGCGUUACUCGGAAUUACUGGGCGUAAAGGGUGCGUAGGUGGUCUUUUAAGUCUGUUGUGAAAUCCCCUGGGCUCAACCUGGGAAUGGCAGUGGAUACUGGAAGGCUAGAGUGCGGUAGAGGGUAGUGGAAUUCCCGGUGUAGCAGUGAAAUGCGUAGAGAUCGGGAGGAACACCAGUGGCGAAGGCGGCUACCUGGACCAGCACUGACACUGAGGCACGAAAGCGUGGGGAGCAAACAGGAUUAGAUACCCUGGUAGUCCACGCCCUAAACGAUGCGAACUGGACGUUGGGAGGAACUUGCCUCUCAGUGUCGAAGCUAACGCGUUAAGUUCGCCGCCUGGGGAGUACGGUCGCAAGACUGAAACUCAAAGGAAUUGACGGGGGCCCGCACAAGCGGUGGAGUAUGUGGUUUAAUUCGAUGCAACGCGAAGAACCUUACCUGGUCUUGACAUGUCCGGAAUCCUGCAGAGAUGCGGGAGUGCGNUNCGGGAAUCGGAACACAGGUGCUG
rnacentral:rRNA from 1 species